UACGUAGGGUGUGAGCGUUAAUCGGAAUUACUGGGCGUAAAGUGUGCGCAGGCGGCCGCGCAAGUCGAGUGUGAAAUCCCCGAGCUUAACUUGGGAAUUGCGCUCGAAACUACGUGGCUGGAGUGUGGCAGAGGAAGGUGGAAUUCCACGUGUAGCGGUGAAAUGCGUAGAGAUGUGGAGGAACACCGAUGGCGAAGGCAGCCUUCUGGGCCAACACUGACGCUCAUGCACGAAAGCGUGGGGAGCAAACAGG
rnacentral:rRNA from 1 species